CUUUCGCGCCUCCGCCCCUGGGUUGGCGGACAGGGGAAGGAGCGAAGAUGGCGGAGUGAGGCGUGCCCCGGGCAGCUGGCCUGCGGGCCCGGGGCAGGCCUCCCGUGAGAAGCGGAGUACUUGUGCUGGACCGUGUGAGGAACCAUAUCACACAAGAUGAAUAUUUUCCUGACCUUAGGUGCUUUUAUAUUCAGCUCAACAUUCUGAACUCAGGACUUGGCACGUAAGUAGAUAGAGAUAAUCAUCCCAAGUCCUGUUGUAGCGGCUUGAAAGGCUCCAUAGAAGCGACAUACUAAACUGUUAAGAGCAACAGAAGAUGAAGAUAAAAAUGAGUACAAGCCAGCUACCAUGGCUCACCUUUAUGCCCAGCUCUUGGGACCUGGGGAACUGAGGAAUUCCUAUGUGGACUGCUCAGUGAGGCGUCCUGGUUCUUCCAUCCUGUUACUUUCCCCAGUGAGAUGCAGAUGUCUUUCGACAGAUUACCUCCAUGGUUUAGGAUGCAGAGACUGCCUUUCUUUUACGUCAGACUCAACACAGGAAAGCCGUGAGGAUGCAGCCGUCCUGUUGACUUCAGCAAGAAAACAAACCAUGGACUUGGGUCUUCUGCAGCUUUUGAAUUGGAAAGACGGUGUUUGCAAGUAGAAGGAAGAUGCUGAAUUUGAAACAAGUGCUUAGGUUCUGUGGCGUGAGUUGUUUUCUUUUUAAAAGAUCCAAACAAGAAGACUGAACAAAUACCAAGUGUGGGUGACUUCAGGUUUUUUUUUUAAUGUCUUCCAAUUUUAACACUAUUAUAAGCACAGUUGACCGCAGUAAGUUCCAAAUAUUUAAUAUAAUUUGAAGUGAAAGAAAUGUUAUCUAAAUUCUGGCUCACUCUUUGACAGUUUUCCUGGACAAAAACAAGAUACGAUAAAAGCAGAAACCAGGUUUGAUUUUGUAUGGGAGUGAAAUCAUUACAGUUUUAUGGGUAUAAAUCUACAUUUUUAAACAAGAUUUUUCUCUUGGAGAAGAAACCUGUUGUUUAUAAGAAGGCUUUGGACAGUUUAAUAGUCUUAAAUGUUCUGCUUUGCUGUUCUAGUCCUUCUCAGGAAGGCCCAGCUGGGCCUGUGGCUAGUUCAGAAUGGGAGGAAACAUAGGCUGGGACAAUGCUCACCCUGAACUGCCAGCGUGUGGGAGGCCAAGGCAGGAAGAGCAGAUGUUCAGGGCCAGCUUGGACAUCAAGAGGCUCAAAACCAGUAGGAAAAAAAACAGAGCCCAGUAACACCCUCUUUUAUAUUCCUUUUGUGGAAUCAUGUAGCAUGUGAGACUGGGUUGGAAGGGAACUGGCAUAUGUGGUAUUUCAGUUAAGGUGAUGUGGUGGACCCUGAUGUGUAACUGGCCUUCACCUUUGGACAUACAGGAAUGAAGGAAAAACUAAAGCUUGGCAUAUAAAUCUUUUCUUCUAAGAAAAAGAAGCAAAGCUGUCUAAUGUAGCAUUGUCUGACUUUUCAACAUUUUUACUUUAUGUGGUUGCAUUUUUUUAUAAAAGUAUAAAUAAGUUCCUUCAACCCAAAAAAAAAAAAAAAAA
rnacentral:lncRNA from 1 species